rnacentral:lncRNA from 1 species
GUAAUAAGAAGAACUUUACGGGGUUGGAUAGAUUUUAUUGUUGCCCUUUGUGUUUAGAGGGAGAAAUCGCGAGCUCGUUUUAGUGCUCUUCCUGUGGCGGAAGGUCGCGACUAAGUUUUCGAUUUUGUUGAACACUACGGAGUUUCUGUAAGCGUUGGCCAUAGAAGCAGUCAGUGCUGCGAGUUUGUUUUUCAUAUAUCCAGACAUCGUUUCGAUCUAGCGUUUUGUGGUCAUGAGUAAGAGUAAUCCGUAACCGCCCCUCCUUCUAGCGCCAAACUGUGGGAAUCGAAAUUCGCACUGUCGAUUUACUUUUAAAUUAGGAUACUAGGAAAACCCUAAUUUCCCAGAGGUCCCGGAUCUCUGCGAGAGCCAACGACAAGUGACCAAAAAGAUGCGGAAAUCAUGAAAAGAUAACAAACGAGUUUAGAGAAAACAGUAGAUCUUAUUUCGAAUUUGCGUAAGAGCGUAGCGAUCAUUACAAGAGAUCAUAAAAGCUUUGGCCGCAAAGGCUGUCAGC